rnacentral:lncRNA from 13 species
AUGGAUUCUACGUUUUCAGUCUUAUCCUUUAAUGGAUUCUACGUUUGCUGUUUUCAGUCUUAUCCUUUAAUGGAUUCUACGUUUUCAGUCUUAUCCUUUAAUGGAUUCUACGUCUGCUGUUUUCAGUCUUAUCCUUUAAAGGAUUCUACGUUUUCAGUCUUAUCCUUUAAUGGAUUCUACGUCUGCUGUUUUCAGUCUUAUCCUUUAAUGGAUUCUACAUCUGCUGUUUUCAGUCUUAUCCUAAAGCAGUAACUCCCCUCAAUGUACUCUGAACAUUUAAUGACUCUAGGACCAAGAAAAUGUAUUCAAAAUAGCUUCUGAAGUUCGGUAAUUGUGUGUUUGUUAAUGUUCAUAUGUAGCCGGUUUUUCUUCCAUUUGGUGCCUAAUGAACAUGACCCAGCUGCUACACUGAGGUUCCUGAAGUCAGUCUUGGCAGUAAGAGGAUUUAUUCAUGAAUGACUUUUCCCUUUAGUAGUACAAAGCAGGGAGUGGUCUGAGACUCAGAACGACUGAUAGGAAACCCACUAAGUAAUACAAACCAUAGAUGGCUUUAUCUAGCGGCAGUGGAAGACUUCUGUUCUGAUUCUCCCCCCUUUUCCAGUGCACAUGGUUCUAAAAGCACAGCACUGGUGUCAGGAUUGGCUGUGAGGCUGGAGGGAGAUUCCAUUGUCAAAGCCAUAGGGGGGGAAAGUAGGCCAGUGCAGUGCACGCUUUGGGAGAAGGGUGGACAAUUGGGACUCUAAUUUAUCUCCUGGUUUACAAGCCUGGUUUCAACCUAUCCAGUUGCUAUAGUUUUUGUGGACAGUAGACAUAAAAAUAUGACUGAAAACUCAAUCAGUACAUAAAUGACUAGAUAGGAACAUGCAUAUUACACAGAUCAGUUGAGCAAACAAGCCUGGUGUUUUCUACGGGCGGUUUAAUUUAACGUGUGGUUUAAUGAGCAGUUUAAUGUGUUUUUUUAUGGCUUUACCUUGACUGUUAUCAGAUAGACAGGGUUUAAGAGUUAUGAGAAAGGACUUGUAGACUGAAUCCUAAAUGACACCCUAUCCCCUAUAUAUAGUGCAC